rnacentral:rRNA from 1 species
AGUGAACGCUGGCGGCAGGCCUAACACAUGCCAGUCGAACGGCAGCACAGUAAGAGCUUGCUCUUACGGGUGGCGAGUGGCGGACGGGUGAGGAAUACAUCGGAAUCUACUUUUUCGUGGGGGAUAACGUAGGGAAACUUACGCUAAUACCGCAUACGACCUACGGGUGAAAGCAGGGGAUCUCCGGACCUUGCGCGAUUGAAUGAGCCGAUGUCGGAUUAGCUAGUUGGCGGGGUAAAGGCCCACCAAGGCGACGAUCCGUAGCUGGUCUGAGAGGAUGAUCAGCCACACUGGAACUGAGACACGGUCCAGACUCCUACGGGAGGCAGCAGUGGGGAAUAUUGGACAAUGGGCGCAAGCCUGAUCCAGCCAUACCGCGUGGGUGAAGAAGGCCUUCGGGUUGUAAAGCCCUUUUGUUGGGAAAGAAAAGCAGCAGGUUAAUACCCCGCUGUUCUGACGGUACCCAAAGAAUAAGCACCGGCUAACUUCGUG